rnacentral:rRNA from 1 species
GAGUUUGAUCCUGGCUCAGAUUGAACGCUAGCGGGAUGCCUUACACAUGCAAGUCGAACGGCAGCACGGACUUCGGUCUGGUGGCGAGUGGCGAACGGGUGAGUAAUGUAUCGGAACGUGCCUAGUAGCGGGGGGGUAACUACGCGAAAGCGUAGCUAAUACCGCAUACGCCCUACGGGGAAAGCAGGGGAUCGCAAGACCUUGCACUAUUAGAGCGGCCGAUAUCGGAUUAGCUAGUUGGUGGGGUAACGGCUCACCAAGGCGACGAUCCGUAGCUGGUUUGAGAGGACGACCAGCCACACUGGGACUGAGACACGGCCCAGACUCCUACGGGAGGCAGCAGUGGGGAAUUUUGGACAAUGGGGGAAACCCUGAUCCAGCCAUCCCGCGUGUGCGAUGAAGGCCUCGG